UCCAGACUCCUACGGGAGGCAGCAGUGGGGAAUAUUGCACAAUGGGGGAAACCCUGAUGCAGCGACGCCGCGUGAGUGAGGAAGUAUUUCGGUAUGUAAAGCUCUCUCAGCAGGGAAGAAAAUGACGGUACCUGACUAAGAAGCCCCGGCUAACUACGUGCCAGCAGCCGCGGUAAUACGUAGGGGGCAAGCGUUAUCCGGAUUUACUGGGUGUAAAGGGAGCGUAGACGGUUAUGUAAGUCUGGAGUGAAAGCCCGGGGCCCAACCCCGGGACUGCUCUGGAAACUGCGUCGCUGGAGUGCGGGAGGGGCAGGCGGAAUUCCUGGUGUAGCGGUGAAAUGCGUAGAUAUCAGGAGGAACACCGGCGGCGAAGGCGGCCUGCUGGACCGUGACUGACGUUGAGGCUCGAGAGCGUGGGGAGCAAACAGGAUUAGAUACCCGAGUA
rnacentral:rRNA from 1 species